rnacentral:piRNA from 1 species
UCACAUUGCGUAAAACAUGAA